AUCUGCAAUCUGAAAUCUCUUACAGACCUUGAGAUCUCAUAUUGUUUGAAUGUCAAUGAAUUGCCGGAGAACAUAGGGGAUUUAGAAUUGCUGGAGACCCUUGAUAUAUCUGGAAGUGGAAUAAAACCAUUACCAUCCUCCUUCAAUCAAUUGCAAAAUUUGGGAGAGUUAACCUGUGGUAAAUGUGAAGGUUUGACUUUGCCUCCUUUGACAGGUUUGUCC
rnacentral:misc_RNA from 1 species